CAUUAGGCCGAGGGCACGUUUGCCUGGGCAUC
rnacentral:rRNA from 1 species